rnacentral:lncRNA from 1 species
AUCCCUAGUAGUGCGAAGGUGAAAGUGUUGGUCCGUUUUACACCUUAUGCAGGUAAUGAACUCGCCCUGAUGGAACUGCUACUUUCCACUAAUGAGCCUUAAUCUAUUGUUUAGGUUUACAGCAAGCUUGUAGUAUUUGAUUUUGUACUUCUAUACAAUAAGAGAUCUUGUAGGUAUUCCUUCUGCCCAUAAAAGUCAUGGACCAAAUGAAAAUUUUAAUGAUUUUUUACUUUUAUAUAAAUAG